GGAGAUUCAGGCAGCUGGCUGAAACCUGCUCCUGCGGCGCUGCCCUUGCUCCUCCUCCCCUCACAGCCUCCCCUUCCCCGCUGCAGUCUUCUAGCCCCCCCGACCGGGCCCAGACGGGGGUGAGGGGGUGGGCUGUCUGGGUAGUCACGUGAUGGGCAGAGGCCAACCGCUGGUGCCAGUGGAGGGGUGGGUGUUCCCCUCCAGCCCCUGGCUUUGGAGGAGGAAUGAAGAAAGCUCGCCUCCCUUGCAGACCAGUUCCUCCUGUUCCCUCCUCCAAACGGCCAGGAUUUCGCAUCCUGUUCCUCCAGUAUUGACCUUCCCGUCUCCUGGGAGGGCUUGGUGCCGCCAGCUGCCCGUCAGCCUAUGGGCCUUUCUUGAGGCCCGAAGGGCCCUCAGCAGCAGCGCAUGGAGAAACAUGAGCAGCCUGGAGGUUUCCAAGUGGAGAAAGGACAGAUUGUUUCCAAGCAGCCAGCUGCCCUGCCUGUCCCGAUGACCUUUCUCCCGUGAUCACUUCCCAGCCUGAACUACUCUGCCGGUCUCCUCCUGUUUACCAAGUCCAAGCUCGCUCUGCUGGCUGCACAAUAGACCAAUGAAUCUGAGACAGGUGUUGAGGCAAGGAAGAGACUUUAAACGGGGAGGUGGCAGGCUCCGAAAAGAUGGCAAGCUAGUGCCUUAAAAUAACCAUCUUAUUGGGGUCUGGAUGCCAGAUUCUUUUAUAGAUCAGAGGGAAACAAGCAAUGAGGAACCAAAGUCAAAAGGCAGUGGGGAAGUAAAGUGAAAGGGUCUUCAGACUUGCAAAACAUCUCUAAGGGAAUGGCCAGCCUUUGGAAGGGAUGUGCUAAUCUCUUCUAUUCACAGGUGGGGAGGGACAAACCAUCUCUCUAAGAGCUGAACAAAGACACUUUAGUUUAUAGUCAAGCAGAGGGGCAGGGUCCUCCAGGCAAGCCACGGAGUGUGAUUAUAGAAAUAAAAGCGAUGAAAAGCAAGUCAAAGAAACAGUUUCCAACAUGGAGUCAGAAUUGGCUUCCUCCCUGCAACAAACCCACGCCAGCCUCCAUCCAAGAAGCAGUGAUUCUCCAUCUGAGAUAUACCAUCAGUGCAUCUUCUCCAUGACAAAGCUCCUGUUUUUCCUCUUUCUGGGAGAGCUGUAACUCUGGGAGAGUUACAUAACAAACCACUAAAAUCCACUCCUUCCAUCAAAGAGCUGUGUGAUUUCUUCUUUCUUCCCACCAGGAUUCUCUCUUCCUUCUUUUCUUUUAACAAAUAGGCACGGUGCUAGGAAUGCGAGGAAAUGCAACAAAUGAUGCUUAUAAAAAAAUCUUUUUGGCUGUGCUGGUGUUUGCUGCUGCAUUCGGGCUUUCUCUAGUUGCGGUGAGAAGGGGCUACUCUCUAGCUGUGAUGGGCGGGCUUCUCAUUGCGAUGGCUUCUCUCGUUGCAGAGCGUGGG
ensembl:lncRNA